CCUACGGGAGGCAGCAGUAGGGAAUCUUCCACAAUGGGCGAAAGCCUGAUGGAGCAACGCCGCGUGGGUGAAGAAGGUCUUCGGAUCGUAAAACCCUGUUGUUAGAGAAGAAAGUGCGUGAGAGUAACUGUUCACGUUUCGACGGUAUCUAACCAGAAAGCCCCGGCUAACUACGUGCCAGCAGCCGCGGUAAUACGUAGGUGGCAAGCGUUAUCCGGAUUUAUUGGGCGUAAAGGGAACGCAGGCGGUCUGUUAAGUCUGAUGUGAAAGCCUUCGGCUUAACCGGAGUAGUGCAUUGGAAACUGGGAGACUGGAGUGCAGAAGAGGAGAGUGGAACUCCAGGUGUAGCGGUGAAAUGCGUAGAUAUAUGGAAGAACACCAGGGGCGAAAGCGGCUCUCUGGUCUGUAACUGACGCUGAGGUUCGAAAGCGUGGGUAGCAAACAGGAUUAGAUACCCGUGUAGUC
rnacentral:rRNA from 1 species